CAAUUCGCAGGCUGCGUACUUGGUAGGACGCAUUUUGAGGCCGGUGACGUCACAACGCUGCGCGGAGGCCGUCCCAUUUGGCAAAAAUUCUGAGGACGCUUAAAAUGCAGCCUUAAAAUGCGUCCUCCUUUUCCCCGAAUUCUGAGGAUGCAUCGCUACCGUCCUUAGUGGCCUCGCCUCCCACAAGAUUUCCCGAGGUGCUUUGCGCGCUUCUUCUUUUUGUUUUUUUUUUUUCUAGUAGUUGAAGAAGAAGAAGAAGAAAGCCGGAUUUUCUUCAAGUUACGGACAACCGAAAGCAGCAGCAGCGCCGGCAGUAGUGGGGAGAACACCUUUAAAUGGAUCAGACAGAGGAGUGGAUAAAAUGACCACCUCAUCAUCGGGGC